rnacentral:rRNA from 1 species
UACCGCCUACGGGGGGCAGCAGUGAGGAAUAUUGGUCAAUGGUCGGGAGACUGAACCAGCCAAGCCGCGUGAGGGAUGAAGGUACAGAGUAUCGUAAACCUCUUUUGUCAGGGAACAAAGGCGGGGACGUGUCCCCGGAUGAGUGUACCUGAAGAAAAAGCAUCGGCUAACUCCGUGCCAGCAGCCGCGGUAAUACGGAGGAUGCGCGCGUUAUCCGGAUUUAUUGGGUUUAAAGGGUGCGCAGGCGGUCUGGUAAGGCAGCGGUCCA